rnacentral:lncRNA from 1 species
UACUAUAAUAAAAACAAAUGUCAUAGGAUAAACAUAAACUCAGGAUCCACAAGUUGGGUGAUCCAAGAGUUCUUCCAGGACAAACACAAAGAGAGGAUCCACAAGUUGGGUGGAUCAUAUUCUGAGUUUUAAUCUUAUUCAUUCAGAAAUUUGAGUUUGCUCUAUCAGGUGAAUUUAUGCUCUCCUAUGAUAGAGAAUGAGAAAGAGGUAUAAAUUAAUUUCUGAUUGAAAUAAAUACGAUCUCGCCUAACUCCAGUUGAAAUAAACAUAAACUAUCCGAGGAUAAAUACAAACUCUAAAUAAUAAACAUACAUAUAUCCAGAAUAAAUACAAACUAUCCCAAAAUAAAUACAAACGUCAUAAAAUAAAUAGAAACUCAUUAUAAUAAAUACAAAGUCUAAGGUGAUAAAUACAAACAGCCCA